CCUGGCUUCAGGGAACCAGACUAUAAC
rnacentral:piRNA from 1 species